rnacentral:rRNA from 1 species
AAUCUUAACAAGGAACUACAGGGAUUGCCCUAGUAACGGCGAGUGAAGCGGCAAUAGCUCAGAUUUGAAAUCUGGCGUCUUUGGCGUCCGAGUUGUAAUCUGUAGAGGAUGCCUUUGGGUAGCCACCGGUCUAAGUCCCCUGGAACGGGGCGUCACAGAGGGUGAGAAUCCCGUAUGUGACCGGAAGGGCACCCUCCACAAGGCUCCUUCGACGAGUCGAGUUGUUUGGGAAUGCAGCUCUAAAUGGGAGGUAAAUUCCUUCUAAAGCUAAAUACCGGCCAGAGACCGAUAGCGCACAAGUAGAGUGAUCGAAAGAUGAAAAGCACUUUGGAAAGAGAGUUAAAAAGCACGUGAAAUUGUUGAAAGGGAAGCGCUUGCAACCAGACUUGUUGGCGGUGUUCCGCCGGUCUUCUGACCGGUCCACUCACCGUCUGCAGGCCAGCAUCAUCUGGGGCCGCCGGAUAAAAGCGAGGGGAAUGUGGCUCCCCCGGGAGUGUUAUAGCCCCUCGUGCAAUACGGCGAGCCUCGGGUGAGGUCCGCGCUUCGGCUAGGAUGCUGGCGUAAUGGUCGUAAGCGGCCCGUCUUGAAACACGGACCAAGGAGUCUAACAUCUAUGCGAGUGUUCGGGUGUCAAACCCCUACGCGUAAUGAAAGUGAACGGAGGUGGGAGCCUUAGGGUGCACCAUCGACCGAUCCUGAUGUCUUCGGAUGGAUUUGAGUAAGAGCAUAGCUGUUGGGACCCGAAAGAUGGUGAACUAUGCCUGGAUAGGGUGAAGCCAGAGGAAACUCUGGUGGAGGCUCGCAGCGGUUCUGACGUGCAAAUCGAUCGUCAAAUUUGGGUAUAGGGGCGAAAGACUAAUCGAACCAUCUAGUAGCUGGUUCCUGCGAUUUUCUCUCCGAGAGAGAAAAGAAACAACCGGGGCCGGGGGGGGCGCCGAAGUCCUC